rnacentral:rRNA from 1 species
GACGAACGCUGGCGGCGUGCUUAACACAUGCAAGUCGAACGGAAAGGCCCUGCUUUUGUGGGGUGCUCGAGUGGCGAACGGGUGAGUAACACGUGAGUAACCUGCCCUUGACUUUGGGAUAACUUCAGGAAACUGGGGCUCAUACCGGAUAGGAGCUCCUGCUGCAUGGUGGGGGUUGGAAAGUUUCGGCGGUUGGGGAUGGACUCGCGGCUUAUCAGCUUGUUGGUGGGGUAGUGGCUUACCAAGGCUUUGACGGGUAGCCGGCCUGAGAGGGUGACCGGCCACAUUGGGACUGAGAGACGGCGCAGUCUCGUACGGGAGGCAGCAGUGGGGAAUAUUGCACAAUGGGGGGAAGCCUGAUGCAGCAACGCCGCGUGCGGGAUGACGUCCUUCGGGUGGUAAACAGCUUUCGCCGGUGACGAAGCGUGAGUGACGGUAAUGGGUAAAGAAGCACCGGCUAACUACGUG